rnacentral:rRNA from 1 species
UACGGAGGGGGCCAGCGUUGUUCGGAAUUAUUGGGCGUAAAGGGCGCGUAGGCGGCCGAUCAAGUCUGACGUGAAAUCCCUCGGCCUAACCGAGGAACUGCGUUUGAAACUGUUCGGCUCGAGUCCGGGAGAGGGUAGUGGAAUUCCCAGUGUAGCGGUGAAAUGCGUAGAUAUUGGGAGGAACACCGGUGGCGAAGGCGGCUACCUGGACCGGUACUGACGCUUGGGAAGGGCCAAAUUCCCGGAAUUUCCGGAAAUUGGGUUAACCCAAAGGGCCCUAACCCGGGUUAACCCGGUUCCCUGGAGGCCAUCGGACCGGAUGGUACGCUUAGUACGGUCUUGGAAGGCCAAUCCCGGAAAUUUCGGAAUUGGUUAACCCAAAGGGCCCUAACCCCGGGUUAACCGGUUCCCUGGAGGCAUUCGCCGGAGGUAUUGACGGCUUGGAAGCCAACCGGAAAUUCCGAAUUUGUACCCAAAGG